UACGGGGGGGGCAAGCGUUGUUCGGAAUUACUGGGCGUAAAGAGCUUGUAGGCGGUUUGUCGCGUCUGCUGUGAAAUUUCGGGGCUCAACCCCGAACUUGCAGUGGGUACGGGCAGACUAGAGUGUGGUAGGGGAGACUGGAAUUCCUGGUGUAGCGGUGAAAUGCGCAGAUAUCAGGAGGAACACCGGUGGCGAAGGCGGGUCUCUGGGCCGAUACUGACGCUGAGGAGCGAAAGCGUGGGGAGCGAACAGG
rnacentral:rRNA from 1 species